GAUGAACGCUGGCGGCGUGCCUAAUACAUGCAAGUCGAGCGAACAGACGAGGAGCUUGCUCCUCUGACGUUAGCGGCGGACGGGUGAGUAACAAGUGGAUAACCUACCUAUAAGACUGGGAUAACUUCGGGAAACCGGAGCUAAUACCGGAUAAUAUAUUGAACCGCAUGGUUCAAUAGUGAAAGACGGUUUUGCUGUCACUUAUAGAUGUAUCCGCGCCGCAUUAGCUAGUUGGUAAGGUAAAGGGUUACCAAGGCAACGAUGCGUAGCCGACCUGAGAGGGUGAUCGGCCACACUGGAACUGAGACACGGUCCAGACUCCUACGGGAGGCAGCAGUAGGGAAUCUUCCGCAAUGGGCGAAAGCCUGACGGAGCAACGCCGCGUGAGUGAUGAAGGUCUUCGGAUCGUAAAACUCUGUUAUUAGGGAAGAACAAAUGUGUAAGUAACUAUGCACGUCUUGACGGUACCUAAUCAGAAAGCCACGGCUAACUACGUG
rnacentral:rRNA from 1 species